rnacentral:rRNA from 1 species
AUGAACAUGAGGGUCCACGGGUUUGGUGAUCAACAAGAGAGGGACCUCAAAAGAGUACAGAAACUGUGGACUUCUAAAUCUUCUGUGGGGCAAUGUGAGCCCCUCGUUUUAAAAUGUGCUAAUUAUCCGGCCCAGCUGGUCACCUCUUGCUCAAUCUAUACACACACACCAGUACUAUAUCUCACCUAUUGCGAGGUAGAGCAUGUGCUCGCCUACACAGCGACAGAUGUUAUCCGGGCCCAGCAGAGGGGCGGGGGAGAGAGGAGGGCAGUGGGAGGAGGAGGAAGAGGGAGGAGUGAGGGCUUCGGGAGGCUAGGGACGAAGGGAGGAGAGAGGAGGGAGCAGGCAACAGGGCGGCAAUCGGACGAGGGAGAGGAGGGAGGAGCGACGUCCGCCGGCGCGAGAGGACGGCCGUGGGAGGAGGGAGAGAGGAGGGUGGCAAAAGGUGGAGGGAGGGAGGGAGGCAGAUACCUUGGGGGCGACGGCGGGCGGCGGAGUAGUACGAUGGGCGAGAUCUGCUUCACAUUGUUCACGGGCCGCGGGAUCUUUUUAUCGAGGGCACCCUACGUCGUCCCCUUCAGAUUCCUUGUUCUAGUGGUUCUCUCCGACGCUGAUGUAGCCUUUGCUAUGUCCCGUUGUUGUAUCCCUCCAUCGCAUGCAAGCGUGCCGCCUAAUCCAUUCUCCCCGACCCCGCCGCCCGCGCCCGCGCGCCACCCGCUCCUCCUCGCCUCCCGGAGGACGUCCGCCGCUCUUCCUCCGCCUGUCCCGGAGGCCUUACUCGACGCCCUCCACCGAACAGCCGCCGCACUCGUCCCGCCCUCAGCGCCGCACCUCCACCGCCAUUUCCGCUGGCUCAUCGCCGACGCCUCCGCCCCUUCCCCGUCCAGCGGCGACCCGGCGGCGCGCUACCUCCUCCCCGCGCCGCUCGGGAACGAGAACUGGAAGGACCUGGUGGUCGCCGUCCGGGAUGGCGUGCUCAUCCCGCGGCCCGAGACGGAGGCCGUCGUGGAGGGCAGCUCCCGCCGUGUCCUCGCCUACCCUGCCCUCCGCGCCGCCGUGAUCUAUUGCACCGCCGUGCUCCCCGACGUGCCCGCAGCCGUGGGCCCCCAUCCGCCGCCGCCGUUCGCGGGCCUCCGGGCGAGGUCCAUGGCCACCUUCACCCGCACUUAUUUCUGGGCAGUAAAAUCUCUGUUCAUAUAUCGUUCUGUGUAUGUGAUUGGGGAACUCUGCUUAGAAAUGAAUGGUUCUUGUGAGUUCUUGGGAGUCUUAAAAUUCCCUCUUCAUGCUAAUGCAAUCUGUUCACAUGGGGCUGGGAUGACUGAUGUUGAGGCUGCUGCAAUGAUUACAACCUUACUUGAGAUGUUUGAUUGCUCCAUGCUGGUAAGGAAAGUUGACAUGCUUAACGGUGUGACAAUCCCACGGUCCGAGAAAGUAAAGGAUGAGAUCGUCCUCGAUGGCAACGGCAUCGAGCUCGUCUAUCACUCUGCUGCCCUUAUCAACCAGGUACUGGCGGAGGCCGGGAGCGCCAAGGUGGUGGCGUUCGACGAGAUCGACCUUAACAUGUUGCACUACCUGAGCUUGUGUACUAGAAGCAGGCACCCAAAUUUUCUUUUUGAUUGCUGGAAAGAUGGUGGUUGGGUGUCAACAAGGAAUGGAAUUGAUGGAGAUCCCUACGUGUGCGUCGUUUCUAUACCAUGCAUGCUGGUAGCAGAUUGA